rnacentral:rRNA from 1 species
CCUACGGGAGGCAGCAGUGGGGAAUCUUGCGCAAUGGGCGAAAGCCUGACGCAGCAACGCCGCGUGCGGGAAGAAGGCUCUCGGGUUGUAAACCGCUUUCAGCAGGAACGAAAAUGACGGUACUUGCAGAAGAAGGUGCGGCCAACUACGUGCCAGCAGCCGCGGUGACACGUAGGCACCAAGCGUUGUCCGGAUUUAUUGGGCGUAAAGAGCUCGUAGGCGGUUCGGUAAGUCAGGUGUGAAAACUUUGGGCUCAACCCAAAGCCUGCAUCUGAUACUGCUGUGACUAGAGUUCGGUAGGGGAGCGGGGAAUUCCUAGUGUAGCGGUGAAAUGCGCAGAUAUUAGGAGGAACACCGGUGGCGAAGGCGCCGCUCUGGGCCGAAACUGACGCUGAGGAGCGAAAGCGUGGGUAGCAAACAGGAUUAGAUACCCUGGUAGUCCACGCCGUAAACGUUGGGCACUAGGUGUGGGUUUCAACCGAACGAAAUCCGCGCCGUCGCUAACGCAUUAAGUGCCCGCCUGGGGAGUCGGCCGCAAGGUUAAAACCNCAAUGAAUUGACG